rnacentral:rRNA from 1 species
AUGAAAUUCUAUUAUACCAAAGGGACUUGGUAAAGGCGAAGGCAGCCCUCUAUGUAAAAACUGACGUUGAAGGACGAAGGCACAGAGCACAAACAGGAUUAGAUACCCAAGUAGUCUUUGCAGUAAAUGAUGAAUGUCAUAGGUUAGAUUAAGCUUUAAUUAAUUAGUUUAUCAGUAAUGAACUAACUAUUAAACAAUAUUUAGUCUAUAAAUGAAAGUGUAAGCAUUCCACCUCAAGAGUAAUGUGGCAACGCAGGAACUGAAAUCACUAGACCGUUUCUGACACCAGUAGUGAAGUAUGUUGUUUAAUUCGAUGAUCCACGAAAAACCUUACCACAAUUUGAAUAUUUUACAGGAGUUGCACGGCUGUUUUCAGUUAAUGUUGUGAAACUGUGGUUUCCAUGAAAUUAACGCAAUCCCUGGCUUUAUUUUUUUUUUAUUACGAUAAAGCAUUUGAUCCAGGAUUUGGAAAGAAAAAGGGGACAAAGACAAGUCAUCAUGGCCUUGAUAUUGUGGGCUAUAGACGUGCCACAUAUUCCUACACAAAGAGAUGCAAAAAUGUGAAUUUAAGCUAAUCUCUAAAAAUAGGAUAUAAAUUUUAAGGAUUAUAGUCUGAAACUCGACUAUAUGAAUAAGUAAUUACUAGUAAUCGUGAAUCACCAUGUCACGGUGAAUUUACCUUGGAUUGGUACUAACCACUCGUCACAUGCUGAAAAGAGCAUGCGCAAUAAGUUUGCUUUCUUGAUGAGCAGUAAAAAGAAUAAGCAGGUUCUAUAUUCUAUUAUUAAG